UUUGAUCAUUUUUAUUGUCGAGCCUGCAACUUUUGUUGCAGAAAGCUCGACAUAGGGAUAGUGAUCCGGCGGUGGCGGCGGCGGUGUUAGCUAACUUCUUAAAAGCUUUAUAUUUUAGAAGGUGGAAGACCUGGAUGCUUCAUACUUUGUAUAUAGAUGCCUCAUGUUACGAAGUUUCCGUCAGUCACAUGUCCAAUGUCCUUGACCUCAUUUUCAUGGUUCAGUGACCACUUGAAAAAAAAGUUCAAAUUUUUUUGUAAUGUUGAAUUCUCUCUUAUUAUAAGUAAUAGGAUAACUAUAUUUCAUAUGUGCGUACCUUGCAAGGUCCUAAUGUCUGUCAGACAGUUUUCACUUGACCUCGACCUCAUUUCAUGGAUCAGUGAACAAGGUUAAGUUUUGGUGGUCAAGUCCAUAUCUCAGAUACUAUAAGCAAUAGGGCUAGUAUAUUCGGUGUAUGGAAGGACUGUAAGGUGUACAUGUCCAACUGGCAGGUGUCAUCUGACCUUGACCUCAUUUUCAUGGUUCAGUGGUUAUAGGUAAAUUUUUGUG
rnacentral:lncRNA from 1 species